rnacentral:rRNA from 1 species
ACGUAGGGGGCAAGCGUUAUCCGGAUUUACUGGGUGUAAAGGGAGCGUAGACGGAGCAGCAAGUCUGAUGUGAAAACCCGGGGCUCAACUCCGGGACUGCAUUGGAAACUGUUGAUCUGGAGUGCCGGAGAGGUAAGCGGAAUUCCUAGUGUAGCGGUGAAAUGCGUAGAUAUUAGGAGGAACACCAGUGGCGAAGGCGGCUUACUGGACGGUAACUGACGUUGAGGCUCGAAAGCGUGGGGAGCAAACAG